rnacentral:tRNA from 1 species
UCAAUUGAAGCCAAUGAAUGGCAUAUCACUGUUAAUGAUAAGUUAAGAAGUUAAAAUCUUCUCAAUUGAG